rnacentral:lncRNA from 1 species
AUUCUCCUGCCUCAGCUUCCGGAGCAGCUGGGACUGCUGGCGCCCGCCACUACGCUCGGCUAAUUUUUUUGUGUUUUUAGUAGAGACGGGCUUUCACCGUGUUGGCCUAGCGGUUCUCCAACUCCUGACCUCAUGAUCCCCCCGCCUCAGCCUCCCAAAGUGCUGGGAUUACAAGCGUGAGCCACCGCGACCCGCCAACACUCUUGACAACAGUGCUGUGCUAAGAACUUGGGGGACUUCAAAAAGUUCACCAGUUCCUGUGUCCAUGGGUGAAAAGAUUUUCUACAUCUUUCCUUGACUAGAAACAGAAGUCCUGAAACAAGAAUAUAACGUCAGGAGGCCAGAGGCUUUGUCCUGCCUAAUGUGUUAUUUCCACACUGAAUAAAAGCACCUGAGUCCUGGUCUCAGAGUGAGAACAAUGUCUUCUAUGAUGAGUGGCAAACACAACAAGGCAUUUUAAAAAGGUUGUACAUCUAGCAAUACCUAACAAAAUAGGAAAUCAACUUGGAAAGCCAAUGGCUGUGUUUUGAGUUUAUGGAGAGCCAUAUGUGGCAAGGAACUGAGGGUGGCAUCCAGGCAACAGACUUCAAGAAACUGAGGCUGUCAGUCCAACAACCCACAAGAACUGAAUCUGACCAACAAUCACAGGAACAAACUUAGAAGUAUACUCUUUCCCAGACAAACCUUCAGAUGAGACCACAGCCCCAGCCAUAAGCUUGAAAACAAUCUCAUGAGGGACCUUGAGCCACAGGCAUGUAGUAAAGCUAUGCCAGGAAUCCUGCCUGCCCCACAGAAAAUGUAAAAAAAAUAAAUUUUUAUUGUUUUAAGCCA